AAAGUGCUUUAUAGGGAAGCUGUGUUAUAAUAUAUUAUACUUCAUUAUUAAUCUUUUAUUUUGCACAGAAUUUAUGCAAACUGCAGAACUAAGAUGAUUCCCGGUCUCAACAAGAAGGGAAGUACAAGUCGCAGCAUCCUGAACAGUAAGUGCUCAAAGCUCUAGAAAAGUAUCGUUUGCAUUGUGCUACGGCAGUUUCCUGGCUGGGAAUAGCCUUCUUUUCUGCAACUAUCUACUUGAAAAUUGACUACGCAAAGGAACGUGAAGACACGGUUGGUUUAUCGUGUUUAAAACAGACCGAGAUGAACUGAUACAGCAAGCCCUUGCCUCGUGAGAAGGAACGGGCUAAUGGAAAGUGCAGUGGUUAGAGACUAAAGCAAAAAAUGAAGACUGGAGACUCGUCACAAUCUGGAAUCCCACCCAGGUAUGACAGGUUUGGAAGACUAAGCACUACAUUUCUGAAACUCUCUUGCAACUGGAAAGCUGAUUUUCCACACUGGCUGUGAUUUAGGUUCUGCCAAUGAGAAGCGAUCCUAUGAGAUUUGGAAGGUAGAAGGGUGGGACAGGCCGUCUCUCUGCACCCAUCCUGACUGUCAGGAGCUCUAAUGGGCUGGGGUGGGUAGGGGCCAGACUCCAUGCUCCUCUAUCUCCAGCUUUCUAGGUGUGGGCUGAGGUGCUGGCAGCAGUCUCCUGACCUCUGGAUUGCAGCUGUAGUGGUGGAACUUGAAAACAAAUGUCCAGUUGCUGCUGGACUUGUGCUCCCCAAGUGUUUCCACCCAUUUUGUAAACACCCUGCAUUAAAUCCCAUGCACUUGAACUGCCCACACUGCUUUCUUGCUCCUUUGCUGAAAUCUGCCUGAUACAACAUUUUUCUACCUAAAAGAAAAAGAUUCAACUUGGUUUUUACUUACACUGUGACUCCUUUUGUCAGCAUAAAUGAAUAAGUGCAUAUGUUAACAAUCCACUCCCCUUCUUUUGUAAUGUAAAAGGUAUUUUCUCUCUA